rnacentral:rRNA from 1 species
GAUGAACGCUAGCUACAGGCUUAACACAUGCAAGUCGAGGGGAAACGACAUCGAAAGCUUGCUUUUGAUGGGCGUCGACCGGCGCACGGGUGAGUAACGCGUAUCCAACCUGCCCAUCACUUGGGGAUAACCUUGCGAAAGUAAGACUAAUACCCAAUGAUAUCUCUAGAAGACAUCUGAAAGAGAUUAAAGAUUUAUCGGUGAUGGAUGGGGAUGCGUCUGAUUAGCUUGUUGGCGGGGUAACGGCCCACCAAGGCAACGAUCAGUAGGGGUUCUGAGAGGAAGGUCCCCCACAUUGGAACUGAGACACGGUCCAAACUCCUACGGGAGGCAGCAGUGAGGAAUAUUGGUCAAUGGGCGAGAGCCUGAACCAGCCAAGUAGCGUGCAGGAAGACGGCCCUAUGGGUGGUAAACUGCUUUUAUAAGGGAAUAAAGUGAGAGUCGUGACUCUUUUUGUAGGUACCUUAUGAAUAAGGACCGGCUAAUUCCGUG